rnacentral:miRNA from 1 species
ACGGCGUGAUAUUGGUACGGCUC